GAUUGAACGCUGGCGGUAUGCUUAACACAUGCAAGUCGAACGGAAACGAUACUAGCUUGCUAGUAGGCGUCGAGUGGCGGACGGGUGAGUAACGCGUAGGAAUCUGCCUGAUAGUGGGGGAUAGCCCGAAGAAAUUCGGAUUAAUACCGCAUAAUCUAUUCGUAGUAAAGUGGGGGACUUUCGAGCCUCACGCUAUCAGAUGAGCCUGCGUAAGAUUAGCUUGUUGGUAGGGUAAAAGCCUACCAAGGCGACGAUCUUUAGCUGGUCUGAGAGGAUGAUCAGCCACAUCGGGACUGAGACACGGCCCGAACUCCUACGGGAGGCAGCAGUGGGGAAUAUUGGACAAUGGGGGCAACCCUGAUCCAGCAAUACCGCGUGUGUGAAGAAGGCCUGAGGGUUGUAAAGCACUUUCAAUUGUGAAGAAAAGUUAGCGGUUAAUAACCGUUAGCCUUGACGUUAACUUUAGAAGAAGCACCGGCUAACUCCGUGCCAGCAGCCGCGGUAAUACGGAGGGUGCAAGCGUUAAUCGGAAUUACUGGGCGUAAAGCGUGCGUAGGCGGUUUAUUAAGUCAGAUGUGAAAGCCCCGGGCUUAACCUGGGAACUGCAUUUGAAACUGGUCAACUAGAGUAUGGUAGAGGAAAGUGGAAUUUCUGGUGUAGCGGUGAAAUGCGUAGAUAUCAGAAGGAACAUCAAUGGCGAAGGCAGCUUUCUGGACCAAUACUGACGCUGAGGUACGAAAGCGUGGGUAGCAAACAGGAUUAGAUACCCUGGUAGUCCACGCCGUAAACGAUGAUAACUAGCCGUUGGGGGGAUUUACCCCUUAGUGGCGAAGCUAACGCGUUAAGUUAUCCGCCUGGGGAGUACGGCCGCAAGGUUAAAACUCAAAGGAAUUGACGGGGACCCGCACAAGCGGUGGAGCAUGUGGUUUAAUUCGAUGCAACGCGAAGAACCUUACCUGGUCUUGACAUCCUGCGAACUUUCUAGAAAUAGAUUGGUGCCUUCGGGAACGCAGUGACAGGUGCUGCAUGGCUGUCGUCAGCUCGUGUCGUGAGAUGUUGGGUUAAGUCCCGUAACGAGCGCAACCCCUAUCCUUAUUUGCCAGCACAUCAUGGUGGGAACUAUAAGGAGACUGCCGGUGAUAAACCGGAGGAAGGCGGGGACGACGUCAAGUCAUCAUGGCCCUUACGACCAGGGCUACACACGUGCUACAAUGGGAAGGACAAAGAGCCGCGAAGCCGCGAGGUGUAGCUAAUCUCAUAAACCUUUUCGUAGUCCGGAUUGGAGUCUGCAACUCGACUCCAUGAAGUCGGAAUCGCUAGUAAUCGUAGAUCAGAAUGCUACGGUGAAUACGUUCCCGGGUCUUGUACUCACCGCCCGUCAA
rnacentral:rRNA from 1 species